rnacentral:rRNA from 1 species
GCGGCGUGCUUACCAUGCAAGUCGAACGAAUAACCCACCUUCGGGUGGUUAUAAAGUGGCGAACGGGUGAGUAACACGUGACCAACCUACCUUCUACUUUGGGAUAACUCAGAGAAAUCUGUGCUAAUACCGAAUACUCCGUAACCAUCGCAUGGUGGUUUCGGGAAAGUUCCGGCGGUAGAAGAUGGGGUCGCGGCCUAUUAGAUUGUUGGUGGGGUAACGGCCUACCAAGUCAGCGAUAGGUAGCCGGGUUGAGAGACUGAUCGGCCACAUUGGGACUGAGAUACGGCCCAGACUCCUACGGGAGGCAGCAGUGGGGAAUUUUGCGCAAUGGGCGAAAGCCUGACGCAGCAACGCCGCGUGCGGGAUGAAGGCCUUCGGGUUGUAAACCGCUUUCAGUAGGGAAGAAUUUGACGGUACCUACAGAAGAAGCUCCGGCUAACUACGUGCCAGCAGCCGCGGUAAUACGUAGGGAGCAAGCGUUAUCCGGAUUUAUUGGGCGUAAAGCGCGCGUAGGCGGUUUGUUAAGCGAAGUCUCUAAUCUGAGGGCUCAACCCCCAGCCGGACUUCGAACUGGCAGACUCGAGUUUGGUAGAGGAAGAUGGAAUUCCCAGUGUAGCGGUGAAAUGCGCAGAUAUUGGGAAGAACACCAAUGGCGAAGGCAGUCUUCUGGGCCACAACUGACGCUGAGGUGCGAAAGCUAGGGGAGCAAACAGGAUUAGAUACCCUGGUAGUCCUAGCCGUAAACGAUGGGCACUAGGUGUGGGGGAGAAUUCUCCUCUGUGCCGCAGCUAACGCAUUAAGUGCCCCGCCUGGGGAGUACGGUCGCAAGACUAAAACUCAAAGGAAUUGACGGGGGCCCGCACAAGCAGCGGAGCAUGUGGCUUAAUUCGAAGCAACGCGAGAACCUUACCAGGCUUGACAUAUAGGUGAAGCGGCGGAACGUCUGCGAGGCUA